GAUGAUGAGACUAAGUUUUAUGAAUAUUUUAGGAUGACGCAGUACACCUUCUGUGAACUUUUAAAGAAACUAGAACCAAGGCUGAGAAAAAAUGACACGUUCUGGAGAGUAUCAGUUUCACCCAAAGAACGACUGGCUGUUUUUUUACGGUUCCUUGCUACAGGAGAUUCCUUUAAAACUAUUUCCUUCAGCUACAGGUUGGGAAAAUCCACAGUUGCAGCUAUCGUCCAUGACACCUCUAGAACAGUUAUCGAUUUAUUGUUAGAAGAGGUGAUGCCUGUGCCGAAUGAAGAAAAAUGGAAUGCUAUAGCUGAGGAGUUUUGGACAAAAUGGCAGUUUCCAAACUGCAUUGGAUCUUUAGAUGGAAAGCACGUAACAAUACAGGCUCCAAACAACUCAGGAAGUCUCUAUUGGAAUUACAAAAAAACAUAUUCCAUCUGGUUGACCCAUGUUAUAAUUUUAUUGCAAUAGACGUGGGAGCGUACGGAAAAAACUCGGAUGGAGGCAUUCUAGUAAAUUCAAAUCUUGGAAAGUCAUUGGAAAACAAUACGCUUAGCGUCCCAAAGAGUAAAACUUUACCCGGAACUGAUGUUGAACUUCCAAUGGUAAUUGUAGGCGAUGAAGCUUUCCCUCUCAAAACAUACUUGAUGCGACCAUAUCCUGGCAGGAACUUAACAAAUGGCAAGGCUAUAUUUAAUUAUCGUUUGAGUCGGGCAAGAAGAAUAUCCGAAAAUGCAUUCGGUAUAUUGCAACAGAAAUUUCGAAUAUUUAGAAGAAUCCUUCAGGGAGAUCCUAAUAACCUUACAAUGAUUGUGACGGCUGCGUGUGUACUGUACAACUUUAUUCGAAAAAUGGAAGGUUAUAGGGUGCCCGAACAGAGGAUGGAUCAAACGGAAACUGCUGAGGGAUCCGGAAGUUCAUCAAAUCUUCGAAACCUACCUCGAAUUCGUGGGAGAUCAACAGAUGCUGCAUUUGCUGUACGAGAACAACUCAAAAAAUUCCUGAACUCUCCACAAGGGACUGUGGAAUGGCAAGAACAUGUCGCCUUGGCGAUAUAACGAUGACAUAAACCAAACAUCUGUUUGUAAAAUAAAAAGUAAAUAAAUAUCUUUCGGGUAUUAAAACUU